rnacentral:rRNA from 1 species
UACGAGGGGGGCAAGCGUUGUUCGGAAUUAUUGGGCGUAAAGGGCGCGUAGGCGGCUCAUGAAGGCUGUGGUGAAAGUCCGGGGCUCAACCUCGGAUCGGCCGUGGCGACUCGUGGGCUGGAGCACUGUAGAGGCGGGUGGAAUUCCGGGUGUAGCGGUGAAAUGCGUAGAUAUCAGGAGGAACACCGGUGGUGUAAACGGCUCUCUGGACCAUAACUGACGCUGAGGCACGAAAGCGUGGGUAGCAAACAGG